rnacentral:lncRNA from 1 species
CAGGAUCAAUGUCCAGUCUCUCACACAGGAGCAGAGGCAGCCACUCCUGGAUUUGUCCCUCGACACCCUAAACCCUCCCAAUAAAUCUCUUUUAUGAGAUUUGCUGCAUGGUGUGAUUAUCUCGUUAGAUGAAGACAAGAAGCAAUGAAGGAGAAAGGAGGACGGGAAGAAGGGGAGAGGAGAAGCCAGGCUGAAGCUCCUGAGCUCCUCAGCUCAGCUAGUGAUCCCCUCCCCUGGCAGCUACACCACCUCUGCUGGCUGAGGAGGCUUCUGCUAAGAGUUACAUGGUUUCUGGACCCCUGUGUCUCAGUGCGCCCUCCUAUUGGGAUACAGUCUGCCCUUAGAGCUGUGUGGUUCCUGGGCUUCUGUGUCCUAAGGCACCUUCCCAUCCAAGCAGAAAGACCAACACUUAGGCUAGUACUCUCUAAAGCUGUAAGUUAAAUAAACAUCUUCC